CGCUCUUGUUUUGUUUAAUCAUUUGAAGUUUGGCAGUAAACAGAGCUGAAAAGAGAAAAGGGUAGCUGGCCCCAGUUAGUUUGGGAGCAAGGCUUAGGCUCAGUUUGUUUUGCUGAAAAUAUUUUCCUGGAAAAGUUUUCUAACAUUUGGGCACUCAGAAAAAGGGUCAAAGUCCUAGUUAAAAGGAAAACUUUGAAAAGAUGAAAUAAUUUUCUGGACUUUGACAAUCUUGAUAAAAUAUGAACACUUAUACAAUAUUAGUUUAAUAUAGCAACCAAACAAUGGAAAAUAUUUUUAUAGCAAACAUUUUCUUAGAAAACAAUUUCCAUGAAAAAUAUUUUAAGUAUACAAGUUAUUUUUCUGCGAAACAAACAGAGCCUUAGUUAAGUUGAGUACGCUUUAUGUUAUCUCAAUGUCUAAUGACUGAAGACAAUGUGACUCAAAAGUUUAUGCAAUUUUUCUUUUUUUCCGAAUUAGAAAAAGAGUAGGGAAGUGUUAAGAGUUGCAAUAUUUUCCUUUUUGUGUAUGCU
rnacentral:misc_RNA from 1 species